AGGAUAACCAGAGACUCUGAGACACG
rnacentral:piRNA from 1 species